GGAAUUAGCAAUGCAUUACUGAUAUUCAGGCAUCGCCGUGCAGUUACAGGCAUUGUACAGAUCCGAAUGGACUGUCUGUGUUUGUCUUCUGUUCAGUAUUGUCGCAUUUUUCAGUAAUGUGCGUCAACAGCUGUUGGGACCAGGCGAGAAGCCCCGCAAGAAGGUAGCUGGCUCCGGCUGGUGUUAUAGCUUGUGGUGUGCAAGUUUGGGCUCGACAGAGGAGUCGCGGCACAU
rnacentral:rRNA from 54 species